GGUGCAAGAUGGGCCCGCGGCCUAUCAGCUUGUUGGUGGGGUAAUGGCCUACCAAGGCGACGACGGGUAGCCGACCUGAGAGGGUGACCGGCCACACUGGGACUGAGACACGGCCCAGACUCCUACGGGAGGCAGCAGUGGGGAAUAUUGCACAAUGGGCGAAAGCCUGAUGCAGCGACGCCGCGUGAGGGAUGACGGCCUUCGGGUUGUAAACCUCUUUCAGCAGGGACGAAGCGCAAGUGACGGUACCUGCAGAAGAAGCACCGGCUAACUACGUGCCAGCAGCCGCGGUAAUACGUAGGGUGCAAGCGUUGUCCGGAAUUACUGGGCGUAAAGAGUUCGUAGGCGGUUUGUCGCGUCGUUUGUGAAAACCAGCAGCUCAACUGCUGGCUUGCAGGCGAUACGGGCAGAUUUGAGUACUGCAGGGGAGACUGGAAUUCCUGGUGUAGCGGUGAAAUGCGCANAUAUCAGGAGGAACACCGGUGGCGAAGGCGGGUCUCUG
rnacentral:rRNA from 1 species